AGAAGCUGAUAUUUUACAUUUUAAAUAUGUCUCUUUUGUUUGAUUUUUUCUGUGUUUGAUUGUGAAACCCCAUCUACUAACAUAUUAAAACAGUAUACAAAAAGUGAUGUUACUAGAAUUUAUAUUCUAUUUAUGUAGAGCUUUCUAUUAAUCCAUCUUUCUGAGAAAGAGGGACAUUUUUCUUGGUUUUAUUAUUUUUUAAUUUACUAUCUCUGGAUAUUUUUCAUAACUAGUUUGCGUAUGACAGUUAACAGCUUUAAGCUUAUACAUUAACUUUAGUUAUAACUUAAUUAUUAAUGAUUUGAUUUAUAGAUUUUUAAAGCAAUACAAGAUUAAAUUUAGCAGAAGGCUAAACUUCUGCUCCGGACACAAAAAAGAAAGAUAGCGAAAAUGACCAGCCAAAAUAAAGAAUAAAGAGACAAAAAAUUGUGUAUAUCUUGGUGUAGAUGAUUUAUCCUCAAUUUCUUAUAAUAAAACAAAAAAUAUUAAAUUUUGGAAUUUACCUGUAACUCCUAACUCUUUACAGAAGUUCAAUGUUUGCUCUGAGAAGUUGAAUGAACAAAAUUUAUUAAAUGAUAAAGUUGUAUCCUUGAAAGAUAUUCUGGUAUUAUUGGCACAAUGGGCAAGCAUUGAAGUGCAACUUGGUGAACUACAAAACACAUCAAAUUUUAUUAAUUUAAGUCUAAACAAAAGUUACUUUAAUUAUUGCCAGGUUGUGUAUUUUUGCAGGUCAUUUAUUUGGCAAAAAUUGGAGUUAAAGACGAAGGAGAUUGUAUGUGUUAUUUACUAAGAAUAGUUUUUUAAAAUGGCCUAGCUGUAAAAUUAAACUACGCAGGGAGAGGACAAAAAAUUGGAAUAGGAAAAAUGUUGAUUGCAUAUGUUGCUAUUGAAACUGUAAAGUCAAAUAAGUAUGGCUUAUGCAGACAUGUAAUAGAGAUUGUGGAAGAAAAAAUAAUAAUCGUGGGCACCAAAUAUCAUAAGCUAAAUACGAUUCAAUAACAAGUAGCUCAGCCAAUAUCGAAACUACUCUAUAAAUUUUAUUGUGAAUUUUUUUAUUUAAAACUCAAU